AGUGAACGCUGGCGGCAGGCCUAACACAUGCAAGUCGAACGGCAGCACAGCAGUAGCAAUACUGUGGGUGGCGAGUGGCGGACGGGUGAGGAAUACAUCGGAAUCUGCCUUAUCGUGGGGGAUAACGUAGGGAAACUUACGCUAAUACCGCAUACGACCUACGGGUGAAAGCGGAGGACCUUCGGGCUUCGCGCGAUAAGAUGAGCCGAUGUCGGAUUAGCUAGUUGGCGGGGUAAAGGCCCACCAAGGCGACGAUCCGUAGCUGGUCUGAGAGGAUGAUCAGCCACACUGGAACUGAGACACGGUCCAGACUCCUACGGGAGGCAGCAGUGGGGAAUAUUGGACAAUGGGCGCAAGCCUGAUCCAGCCAUGCCGCGUGGGUGAAGAAGGCCUUCGGGUUGUAAAGCCCUUUUGUCCGGAAAGAAAAGCAUCGGGUUAAUACCUCGGUGUUCUGACGGUACCGGAAGAAUAAGCACCGGCUAACUUCGUGCCAGCCGCCGCGGUAACAC
rnacentral:rRNA from 1 species